rnacentral:rRNA from 1 species
GGACAAUGGGCGAAAGCCUGAUCCAGCAAUGCCGCGUGCAGGAUGAAGGCCCUCGGGUUGUAAACUGCUUUUGUACGGAACGAAAGCCUGGGGCUAAUAUCCCCGGGUCAUGACGGUACCGUAAGAAUAAGCACCGGCUAACUACGUGCCAGCAGCCGCGGUAAUACGUAGGGUGCAAGCGUUAAUCGGAAUUACUGGGCGUAAAGCGUGCGCAGGCGGUUUGUAAGACAGUGGUGAAAUCCCGGGCUCAACCUGGGAACUGCCAUUGUGACUGCAAGGCUAGAGUGCGGCAGAGGGGGAGUGGAAUUCCGCGUGUAGCAGUGAAAUGCGUAGAUAUGCGGAGGAACACCGAUGGCGAAGGCAAUCCCCUGGGCCUGCACUGACGCUCAUGCACGAAAGCGUGGGGAGCAAACAGGAUUAGAUACCCUGGUAG